rnacentral:rRNA from 1 species
UUAGUGGCGGACGGGUGAGUAACGCGUGGGUAACCUGCCGUAUACUGGGGGAUAACACCUGGAAACAGGUGCUAAUACCGCAUAAGCGCACGGGACCGCAUGGUCCAGUGUGAAAAACCGAGGUGGUAUGCGAUGGACCCGCGUCUGAUUAGCCAGUUGGCAGGGUAACGGCCUACCAAAGCGACGAUCAGUAGCCGGCCUGAGAGGGUGGACGGCCACAUUGGGACUGAGACACGGCCCAAACUCCUACGGGAGGCAGCAG